UGGCUCAGGAUGAACGCUGGCGGUAUGCCUAACACAUGCAAGUCGAACGGACACCUUCGGGUGUUAGUGGCGGACGGGUGAGUAACACGUAGGAAUCUACCCCUAGGUGGGGAAUAACAGCUGGAAACGGCUGCUAAUACCCCAUACAGGCGCAAGCUGAAAGGAGCAAUCUGCCUAGGGAUGAGCCUGCGUCGGAUUAGCUAGUUGGUGGGGUAAUGGCCUACCAAGGCGACGAUCCGUAGCGGGUCUGAGAGGAUGGCCCGCCACACUGGGACUGAGACACGGCCCAGACUCCUGCGGGAGGCAGCAGUGGGGAAUUUUCCGCAAUGGGCGAAAGCCUGACGGAGCAAUACCGCGUGAGGGAAGAAGGGCCCUUGGGUUGUAAACCUCUUUUCUGGGGGGACGAAGUUUGACGGGUACCCCAGGGAAUAAGCCUCGGGCUAACUCCGUGCCAGCAGCCGCCGUAAAC
rnacentral:rRNA from 1 species